UACAGAGGGGGCUAGCGUUAUUCGGAAUUAUUGGGCGUAAAGGGCGCGUAGGCGGCCUGUUAAGUCGAACGUGAAAUCCCCGGGCUCAACCCGGGAACUGCGUCCGAUACUGGCAGGCUUGAAUCCGGGAGAGGGAUGCGGAAUUCCAGGUGUAGCGGUGAAAUGCGCAGAUAUCAGGAGGAACACCGGUGGCGAAGGCGGGUCUCUGGGCAGUAACUGACGCUGAGGAGCGAAAGCGUGGGGAGCGAACAGG
rnacentral:rRNA from 1 species